rnacentral:rRNA from 1 species
UACGUAGGGUGCAAGCGUUGUCCGGAAUUAUUGGGCGUAAAGGGCUCGUAGGCGGUCCAUCGCGUCGGGAGCGAAAAGCUGGGGCUCAACCCCAGUCCUGCUUCCGAUACGGGUGGACUAGAGGUAUGCAGGGGAGAACGGAAUUCCUGGUGUAGCGGUGAAAUGCGCAGAUAUCAGGAGGAACACCGGUGGCGAAGGCGGUUCUCUGGGCAUUACCUGACGCUGAGGAGCGAAAGCGUGGGGAGCAAACAGG